CCUACGGGAGGCAGCAGUGGGGAAUAUUGGGCAAUGGGCGCAAGCCUGACCCAGCAACGCCGCGUGAAGGAAGAAGGCUUUCGGGUUGUAAACUUCUUUUAUCCGGGACGAAGCAAGUGACGGUACCUGAUGAAUAAGCCACGGCUAAUUACGUGCCAGCGGCCGCGGUAAUACGUAGGUGGCAAGCGUUAUCCGGUUUUAGGGGUUUCAAAGGGUGUGUAGGCGGGAGUGCAAGUCGGAUGUGAAAACUAUGGGCUCAACCCAUAGCCUGCAUUUGAAACUGUACUUCUUGAGUGCUGGUGAGGCGAGCGGAAUUCGGGGUGUAGCGGUGAAAUGCGUAGAUAUACGGAAGAACACCAGUUGCGAAGGCGGAUUGCGGGUCAGUGACUGACGCUGAGGCGCGAAAGCGUGGGGAUCAAACAGGAUUAGAUACCCUUGUAGUC
rnacentral:rRNA from 1 species